UACGUAGGGUGCGAGCGUUAAUCGGAAUUACUGGGCGUAAAGCGUGCGCAGGCGGUUUUGUAAGCCAGAUGUGAAAUCCCCCGGGCUUAACCUGGGAAUGGCAUUUGGGACUGCAAGGCUGGAGUGCGGCAGAGGAGACUGGAAUUCCUGGUGUAGCAGUGAAAUGCGUAGAUAUCAGGAGGAAUACCGAUGGCGAAGGCAGGUCUCUGGGCUGACACUGACGCUCAUGCACGAAAGCGUGGGGAGCAAACAG
rnacentral:rRNA from 1 species